GACGAACGCUGGCGGCGUGCUUAACACAUGCAAGUCGAACGGAAAGGCCCUGCUUUUGUGGGCUGCUCGAGUGGUGAACGGGUGGGUAACACGUGUUUAACCUGCCCUUGCCUUUGGGAUAACUUCUGGUACCUGGGGCUAAUACCGGAUAGGAGCUCCUGCUGCAUGGUGGGGGUUGGAAUGUUUCGGCGGUUGGGGAUGGACUCGCGGCUUAUCAGCUUGUUGGGGGGGUAGUGGCUUACCAAGGCUUUGACGGGUAGCCGGCCUGAGAGGGUGACCGGCCACAUUGGGACUGAGAUACGACCCAGACUCCUACGGGACGCAGCAGUGGGGAAGAGAGCACAAGGGGCGGAAGCCUGAUGCAGCAACGCCGCGUGCGGGAAGACGGCCAUCGGGUUGUAAACCGCUUUCGCCUGUGACGAAGCGUGAGUGACGGUAAUGGGUAAAGAAGCACCGGCUAACUACGUG
rnacentral:rRNA from 1 species